rnacentral:rRNA from 1 species
AUUGAACGCUGGCAGCAUGCUUUACACAUGCAAGUCGAACGGUAACAGGCCGCAAGGUGCUGACGAGUGGCGAACGGGUGAGUAAUGCAUCGGAACGUGCCCAGUCGUGGGGGAUAACGCAGCGAAAGCUGUGCUAAUACCGCAUACGAUCUGUGGAUGAAAGCGGGGGACCUUCGGGCCUCGCGCGAUUGGAGCGGCCGAUGUCAGAUUAGGUAGUUGGUGGGGUAAAGGCUCACCAAGCCAACGAUCUGUAGCUGGUCUGAGAGGACGACCAGCCACGCUGGGACGGAGACACGGCCCAGACUCCUACGGGAGGCAGCAGUGGGGAAUUUCGGACAAUGGGCGCAAGCCUGAUCCAGCAAUGGCGCGUGCAGGAAGAAGGCCUUCGGGUUGUAAACUGCUUUUGUACGGAGCGAAAAGGCUCCCUCUAAUACAGGGGGCUCAUGACGGUACCGUAAGAAUAAGCACCGGCUAACUACGUGCCAGCCGCCGCCGUAAAAC